CCUACGUGAGGCAGCAGUGGGGAAUAUUGCACAAUGGGGGAAACCCUGAUGCAGCGACGCCGCGUGAGUGAAGAGGUAAUUCGUUAUGUAAAGCUCUAUCAGCAGGGAAGAAAAUGACGGUACCUGAGUAAGAAGCCCCGGCUAACUACUUGCCAGCAGCCGCGGUAAUACGUAGGGGGCAAGCGUUAUCCGGAUUUACUGGGUGUAAAGGGAGCGUAGACGGCAGUGCAAGUCUGGAGUGAAAGGCGGGGGCUCAACCCCCGGACUGCUCUGGAAACUGUACGGCUGGAGUGCAGGAGAGGUAAGUGGAAUUCCUAGUGUAGCGGUGAAAUGCGUAGAUAUUAGGAGGAACACCAGUGGCGAAGGCGGCUUACUGGACUGUAACUGACGUUGAGGCUCGAAAGCGUGGGGAGCAAACAGGAUUAGAUACCCCAGUAGUC
rnacentral:rRNA from 1 species